rnacentral:lncRNA from 1 species
UGAAUAUUUUCUAAUGAUCAAUUAAGGAUUAUGAUAGACUUUUGGGUUAUAAGAGUAGUUGCAGUGCACGAAGUGAGACUUUUAUGUCCAUUCUAUCUACUAGGGAUUAGCAUGAUUAUGCAUCUUUAUAUAUAUAGAAUGGCUGGUCCACUUUGCUUUAUGGUGAUUGUGGCAUACCCAUGGAGUAAGAUGGGAUAGGGUAGAUUAGAAACCCUUGGAGUCUUAUGCUUUUACAUCAUCAUUGACCUUUUCUCAUAUUUAACAGGCUCACUCUUAUUAAGUUGCUGAAUCUGACCCUUGAUAUAGGGGUUGGUUCAUGUGAGAUGGCAUCAAAGUUAUUCGGGUGAUAUAAUGGACUAGGCAUAAUCUCAUCCCUGCAUUAGGGUUUUUUGUGUAGCUAGCUCCUAAGGCUAAUUCUAAAUUGCCUACCACACUUCUAGAAACCCUAACUAGGGUAGCCAACCACAUGCCCAAGGUUUCCUAGGUACAACCCAAAUGGGCCAACUAGGGUUUCCUAUGUUGCCUAGCCCUCCUAAUUAGAAAUAGGAGAAGAGAGAGUGCAGGAAUGUGAAUAGAGGGAGAUAGAGAGGGCCAUAGUAGGGGUGGCUAAGUAAAGGUGCAAAAACCCUAGUGUGCCAUCCAAACAAAAAAGAGACACAAGUAGAGAAGGAAGAAAGGAAGAAAAAGAUGGGGAUAUUUCCAAGUAAUUCUUGGAGAGCCUCCCAAAUGCAAGUACUUCGUAUGGUUCCUAAAGAAGUCUUUAUCCAUCUUCUUUCACCUUAUUGUGUUCUUAUAUCUUCUUUAUAAGUAUUAAUCUCUCUUGUUAUGCAUGUUAUGUGUCUAUAUUAUUGGUGAUUUAUGAAAAACUAAUCCAAUUCAUAAUCUUCUGCUACAUGUUUGACGUUGGAUCAUCCUAAUUCCAUAAGAAUAUCUAUAGAAAAACAAUAUAUAAUGAAUGUAACAUAGGAAGCAUAAAUUAGGAUCAUUUUCUAUCGGGAGAUUUUUUUCUAAGAAUUUGAAAGGAGGUUAGAUAUUGAAACUUUGGAACAAAACUUUAUUUAUGCUUGGGAAUUAAAUAGAUGUUAAGAUUCUAGGAAGAUCCCUAGGUGGAUGAAUUUGAAUUAUACUGGUUGUUUCCUAGUCUACUUCAAUGUCGUAAAAGUUGGAGGCCAUGGCAGACUUACUGUUAACAAGUGAAUAAGGAAAUGGAGUAUCAAGGUCAAUCAUCCACCAACUGAGGGAGCUUGAUAAGAAAGGUAGUCACAAUAUAGUUUUGUGGGAUGAAAGAGAUAACAAGCUCUGCACUACUAAAAUGUAUAGAUUUCUAAUGAUGGUGGAUUGAGAUCACCUAUGGUUAAAAUACUUUGGAAAGCCUCGAUUCUUGAAAAAUUAAAAUAUCCAUACAUAUGGUUAGCAUUCAAUGAUAAAACUCAAUAUUUGAAAGAACUUAAUGAGAGGUUCAAAGUCAUUAGUAAAUUUGCUCUUUGCAAUGCCAAGAUCAAAUCUACCUUUUAUCUCAUGUUCAAGUGCAAUUAUGCUCGAAAGUCUAGGAACCCUUUACUUAAUGUCAAAUGCCAUCUCAUAUCAAUGCUAUUGAUAUGGACUACUUGUAGCCAAAAGAAGGUUUUAAAGCAUGCAAGCUGUUGAGGAUCCCAGGCGUUGACAUUGUACCAGACAAUUGGAAGGAAAGAAAUAAAAGAUUUUCU